rnacentral:sRNA from 2 species
AUUCGGUCUGCCUAAUUCUUGGUUUGCCUUAGACACAGUGUUCCCGUAGGUAAACUUGAAGCGGAGGAACCACCGUUGGGGCUAAUCUUUAAAAAGGAUAGAGACUUAAGUAUAAAGGAUAAAUAAGAGGUCCUUUUUCUCACAUCAUCCUUUAAACUUUAUAUUUCAUCCUUGUUAAAGAGGGACAUCUCUCAGUCCUAGCCCGUCAGCUAACUUCGUCGGCAUUGAGAGGAGACUGA